rnacentral:lncRNA from 1 species
UUUUUUUUAAAGAUUUUAUUUUUUUCCUUUUUCUCCCCAAAGCCCCCCAGUACAUAGUUGUAUAUUUUUCAUUGUGGGUCUUUCUAGUUGUGGCGUGUGGGAUGCUGCCUCAGCGUGGUUUGAUGAGCAGUGCCAUGUCUGCGCCCAGGAUUUGAACUGACGAAACACUGGGCAGCCUGCAGCGGAGCACGCAAACUUAACCACUCAGCCAUGGGGCCGGCCCUGAGUUAGGUUUUUGUGCCCAGACACCCAGCCUGAAGUCUUGGGGAGCACAGGUUACGUGUGUCACCAUGUAAAGAAGCCGGGCCCACAGAAACAACUCCAGGGAGCCCCACUUUGUGGCAACUCAUCUUCCCCAUCCUAGAUGAAAUCUAAGGUAAGUCCCAAGACUUUUCUGCCGUUCUUCAGUAAUUGAAGUCUUCUGUUCCUCAAAGUCAUUUUUAAGAGUCUCAUUUCAGUUGGAAUGCCCAAUGCUGUGUAAGCAUUCAAGCUGGCCUCUUGCAGUGGGCAGAAGGGACUUGGUUCACUGUGCAAUUCCUCAGCUCUGGGAGGAUCAAGGAGGAGAGGUAAGGGGCGAAGGUCUCCCCUGAUUACAGCUUCAGGAAUCCAUAUUCUCUGGGCUCAGUGAGUGUUUGGAGCUGCCCCUUCCUCUCAUGGGACCCACAGACACACCCACUCCCACCACUAGGUAUUCACUGCCUGCAGACCCUCCUCAUGAGCCCUGGGAAUCUUGUGAUCUGCCUACCCAUGGGCCGCAUCCCCUCUCACACAGUCUGCUGGGAGAACCAAGAAGCUCCCAGGCCAGCUCUCUUUCCUGGGUGGUGAGAAAUCCUACACAUACCCUCCAUCCUGACCAGCAACCAGCCAUGGGAGUGCAGCCAUCCCCAGGGUGGAGACCACCCACGGUCCCCGCAUCUCCAGCCCACCAAGCUCGUUUAGCCUCAGAACUUCCCAGAGCCUCUCCUUCCACCUGAAGAGGGCUCCCUGUGGCUAAGUCUCAGCUCACUGUCAACAUUCAGGGCACUCUCAGUCAAAAACCAUCUCAGAGGCACUUACCCUGUUACAAUGACUCUGUCUUCACUCUCCAUGUAGGACUGUCCCGUAUUUCUCUUAUUUAUUCAUCAGUCUAUUUGUUCAUUAUUUGCCCCACUCCCCAGUGGAAUACAAGCUCCAAGCAGCAGGGACUUCCCAGUACCUAGCAGAGCCCUACAUACAACAGGAGCUCAGUAAAACCUGGUCAUCAGCAUAUGGGCUGCUAAAGCUACAUGGCAGUAGGUGUAGAGGAAAAGGAGGGUCAGAGGGGGUGCAGAAGAGAGUAGGG